UAGAUGCGAGAGUAGAGCAUAUCAAUAAGCGGGAGGAAAAGAAACUAACAAGGAUUCCCUUAGUAACGGCGAGUGAAGCGGGAAGAGCUCAAAUUUGAAAUCUUCAAGGUUCUACCUUGACGAAUUGUAGUUUAUAGAAGUGUUUUCUGUUAGUAGAGUGGCUAAAAGUUCUUUGGAAUAGGACAUCAUAGAGGGUGAGAAUCCCGUAUUUGUACCAUUCUUUCUAGCUUUGUGAUACACUUUCAACGAGUCGGAUUGUUUGGGAAUGCAGUCCAAAAUGGGUGGUAAAUUUCAUCUAAAGCUAAAUAUUGGCGAGAGACCGAUAGCGAACAAGUACCGUGAGGGAAAGAUGAAAAGAACUUUGAAAAGAGAGUUAAACAGUACGUGAAAUUGUCAAAAGGGAAGCGUUUGACACCAGUGUUGUUUUUCCGAAAAUCAAUUACGAAUGUUUUGUUUUUGAGGAGUUAUGACUUCAUCGGCUUGCUUCCCUCUUUACGAAACUUUCUUAAUGCACUUUUCGGUUAACAAGUCAACAUCAAUUUCUUUUGUUGUAAAAGGGUAUGAGGAAGGUGGCUUUCUUUUCGGAGAAAGUGUUUAUAGCCUUGUGCCUCUGCAAUCGGAGAGAUUGAGGUCUGCAGCGUAGAUCCUUCGGGGUUAGAUACAUUUGUGCUAAGUUAUAGCUUUUCAUAGACAACUUGUUGACUAUGUUAAGUCUUGUAGCUUACUCGCUUAUGCUAUUUUACCUACGCUUAGGAUGUUGACGAGACUGUCGAUCUC
rnacentral:rRNA from 1 species